rnacentral:rRNA from 1 species
AUUAGCUAGAUGGUGGGUAAAGCCUACCAUGGCGACGAUCUGUAGCUGGUCUGAGAGGAUGAUCAGCCACACCGGGAAUGAGACACGGCCCGGAUUCCUACGGGAGGCAGCAGUGGGAAUAUUGGACAAUGGGGGAAACCCUGAUCCAGCCAUGCCGCGUGUGUGAAGAAGGCCUUUUGGUUGUAAAGCACUUUAAGCAGUGAAGAAGACUCCAUGGUUAAUACCCAUGGACGAUGACAUUAGCUGCAGAAUAAGCACCGGCUAACUCUGUGCCAGCAGCCGCGGUAAUACAGAGGGUGCAAGCGUUAAUCGGAAUUACUGGGCGUAAAGGGAGCGUAGGUGGCUCUAUAAGUCAGAUGUGAAAUCCCCGGGCUUAACCUGGGAACUGCAUCUGAAACUGUAGAGCUAGAGUAUGUGAGAGGAAGGUAGAAUUCCAGGUGUAGCGGUGAAAUGCGUAGAGAUCUGGAGGAAUACCGAUGGCGAAGGCAGCCUUCUGGCAUAAUACUGACACUGAGGCUCGAAAGCGUGGGUAGCAAACAGGAUUAGAUACCCUGGUAGUCCACGCCGUAAACGAUGUCUACUAGUCGUUGGGUCCCUUGAGGACUUAGUGACGCAGCUAACGCAAUAAGUAGACCGCCUGGGGAGUACGGCCGCAAGGUUAAAACUCAAAUGAAUUGACGGGGGCCCGCACAAGCGGUGGAGCAUGUGGUUUAAUUCGAUGCAACGCGAAGAACCUUACCUGGUCUUGACAUAUCUAGAAUCCUGCAGAGAUGCGGGAGUGCCUUCGGGAAUUAGAAUACAGGUGCUGCAUGGCUGUCGUCAGCUCGUGUCGUGAGAUGUUGGGUUAAGUCCCGCAACGAGCGCAACCCUUGUCCUUAGUUACCAGCGGGUUAAGCCGGGAACUCUAAGGAUACUGCCAGUGACAAACUGGAGGAAGGCGGGGACGACGUCAAGUCAUCAUGGCCCUUACGACCAGGGCUACACACGUGCUACAAUGGUAGGUACAGAGGGCAGCUACACAGCGAUGUGAUGCGAAUCUCAAAAAGCCUAUCGUAGUCCAGAUUGGAGUCUGCAACUCGACUCCAUGAAGUAGGAAUCGCUAGUAAUCGCGGAUCAGAAUGCCGCGGUGAAUACGUUCCCGGGCCUUGUACACACCGCCCGUCACACCAUGGGAGUUGAUUGCACCAGAAGUGGAUAGCUUAACCUUCGGGGGAGCGUUCACCACG